GACGAACGCUGGCGGCGUGCCUAAUACAUGCAAGUAGAACGCUGAAGGAGGAGCUUGCUUCUCUGGAUGAGUUGCGAACGGGUGAGUAACGCGUAGGUAACCUGCCUGGUAGCGGGGGAUAACUAUUGGAAACGAUAGCUAAUACCGCAUAAUAGUAGAUGUUGCAUGACAUUUGCUUAAAAGGUGCAAUUGCAUCACUACCAGAUGGACCUGCGUUGUAUUAGCUAGUUGGUGGGGUAACGGCUCACCAAGGCGACGAUACAUAGCCGACCUGAGAGGGUGAUCGGCCACACUGGGACUGAGACACGGCCCAGACUCCUACGGGAGGCAGCAGUAGGGAAUCUUCGGCAAUGGACGGAAGUCUGACCGAGCAACGCCGCGUGAGUGAAGAAGGUUUUCGGAUCGUAAAGCUCUGUUGUAAGAGAAGAACGAGUGUGAGAGUGGAAAGUUCGCACUGUGACGGUAUCUUACCAGAAAGGGACGGCUAACUACGUG
rnacentral:rRNA from 1 species